rnacentral:rRNA from 1 species
GUAGGGGGCGAGCGUUGUCCGGAUUUAUUGGGCGUAAAGAGCUCGUAGGCGGCUCGGUAAGUCGGGUGUGAAACCUCCAGGCUCAACCUGGAGACGCCACCCGAUACUACCGUGGCUAGAGUCCGGUAGAGGAGCGUAGAAUUCCUGGUGUAGCGGUGAAAUGCGCAGAUAUCAGGAGGAAUACCAGCGGCGAAGGCGGCGCUCUGGGCCGGUACUGACGCUGAGGAGCGAAAGCGUGGGGAGCAAACAGGAUUAGAUACCCUGGUAGUCCACGCCGUAAACGUUGGGCACUAGGUGUGGGGCCUUUUCAACGGGUUCCGUGCCGUAGCUAACGCAUUAAGUGCCCCGCCUGGGGAGUACGGCCGCAAGGCUA